rnacentral:tRNA from 1 species
CAUUAGAUGACUGAAAGCAAGUAAUGGUCUCUUAAACCAACUAAUAGUAGCCGAGCGACUACUUCUAAUGA